GAUCAUGGCGAGGUGGAUACUAUGGUUCCUUAGGUCUUAUUUGAUAGUCCGAAAAAAUUUUAGGCGAUAGGGGUCGGGACGGUCCCGGGACCACUCGGAAGGCGUGGGCUAUAACACACAAAAAUAUAGGAAUCGCGCGGAAUUCUAGUUGUUUGGCCAAAAAAUGAAAAAAACUAGGAACGAUAUGGCUGGGCGGUGACUAUGGUUCCUUAGGUCUUAUUUGAUAGUUCGGAAAAUUUUUAGGCGAUCGGGGUCCGCGGCUCUUGGGACCACUCGGAAUGCGUGGGUAUAGCACACAAAAAUAUGGGAAUCAGGGCGAAAUUCUAGUUGUUUGGCCGAAAAACGCAAACAAUGAGGAACGAUCAUGGCGGGGCGGAUACUAUGGUUCCUUAGGUCGUAUUUGAUAGUCCGGAAAAUUUUUAGGCGAUCGGGGUCCGGUGGUCCCGGGACCCCUCGAAAGGCGUGGGCUAAAGCACACGAAAAUAUGGAAUCGCGCGAAAUUCUAGUUGUUUGGCC
rnacentral:lncRNA from 1 species